rnacentral:tRNA from 1 species
GCAUUGGUGGCUCAGGGGUAGAGCUCUCGUCUGCCAUGCUGGAGGCCCAGGUUGGUUUCCCGGCCAAUGCU